CCUACGGGUGGCAGCAGUGAGGAAUAUUGGUCAAUGGGCGCAAGCCUGAACCAGCCAAGUCGCGUGAAGGAUGACGGCUCUAUGGGUUGUAAACUUCUUUUAUAAGGGAAUAAAGUGCGGUACGUGUACCGCUUUGUAUGUACCUUAUGAAUAAGGAUCGGCUAACUCCGUGCCAGCAGCCGCGGUAAUACGGAGGAUCCGAGCGUUAUCCGGAUUUAUUGGGUUUAAAGGGUGCGUAGGCGGGCUGUUAAGUCAGUUGUGAAAGUCUGUGGCUCAACCAUAGAAUUGCCGUUGAUACUGGCAGGCUUGAGUAUAGUAGAGGCAGGCGGAAUGCGUGGUGUAGCGGUGAAAUGCUUAGAUAUCACGCAGAACUCCGAUUGCGAAGGCAGCCUGCCAAGCUAUGACUGACGCUGAUGCACGAAAGUGUGGGGAUCAAACAGGAUUAGAUACCCGAGUAGUC
rnacentral:rRNA from 1 species